rnacentral:rRNA from 1 species
GAUUCUGGCUCAGGAUGAACGCUAGCUACAGGCUUAACACAUGCAAGUCAGGGGCAUCAUGAGAUUAGCUUGCUAAUCUUGAUGGCGACCGGCGCACGGGUGAGUAACGCGUAUCCAACCUUCCCUAUACUAGAGGAUAGCCCGGCGAAAGUCGGAUUAAUACUCUAUGUUCUUCGUAGAUGACAUCUGAAAUGAAGCAAAGAUUUAUCGGUAUAGGAUGGGGGAUGCGUCUGAUUAGAUAGUAGGCGGGGUAACGGCCCACCUAGUCGACGAUCAGUAGGGGUUCUGAGAGGAAGGUCCCCCACAUUGGAACUGAGACACGGUCCAAACUCCUACGGGAGGCAGCAGUGAGGAAUAUUGGUCAAUGGGCGAGAGCCUGAACCAGCCAAGUAGCCGUGCAGGAUGACGGCCCUAUGGGUUGUAAACUGCUUUUAUACAGGGAUAAAGUGAGGGACGUGUCCCUUUUUGUAGGUACUGUAUGAAUAAGGACCGGCUAAUUCCGUGCCAGCAGCCGC